ACUGCCAUCUCCAUCCUCUAACCCAGCCCUACCACACACAGCCAUACUGCCAUCUCCAUCCUCUAACCCAGCCCUACCACACACAGCCAUACUACCAUCUCCAAGCAAAUGCCUAAUGCCCAGACCAAAACAUCCCUUCCCUAUAUGAAGACACUGUAACAGCAGUGUCGUUCCAUCCUGGCAGUCACCAUCACAAUCACCUCCUCGAUGGGUAAGAAUAUAACUGCUGUGCCAUAAUCAUCCAGCCUGAUGUAUUGAUGGACUCAUUAAAACUCUCUUUAAUGCCAAAUGGCCAUUGCACUCCACUUAAUGACAAUGAGGUGUGUGUGUGUGUGUGUGUGUGUGUGUGUGUGUGUGUGUGUGAGAGACGGAGAGAAAUAAAGAAAGAAAGAGAGAUAGAGAGAGUGUGUUAUAUUAGUAUGAGCGAUAGUGUCACCAGUCAAUCCCUGACACAUUCCCCUGAUCAUCCACCAGUCAAUCCCUGACACAUUCCCCUGAUCAUCCACCAGUCAAUCCCUGACACAUUCCCCUGAUCAUCCACCAGUCAAUCCCUGACACAUUCCCCUGAUAAUCCACCAGUCAAUCCCUGACACAUUCCCCUGAUAAUCCACCAGUCAAUCCCUGACACAUUCCCCUGAUAAUCCACCAGUCAAUCCCUGACACAUUCCCCUGAUAAUCCACCAGUCAAUCCCUGACACAUUCCCCUGAUAAUCCACCAGUCAAUCUCUGACACAUUCCCCUGAUAAUCCACCAGUCAAUCCCUGACACAUUCCCCUGAUAAUCCACCAGUCAAUCCCUGACACAUUCCCCUGAUCAUCCACCAGUCAUAACAAAUAUACAGGAAGUUAACAAAUCAAUCUGAGCUGGCAAAAAAAUACAAUACAGUCCAACACACACUGCUCUCUAGUGGACAAACAAUACACCUGCAUGCAACAAUAGUUCUACCUGCCUCUUCACAAGACAUCUGAAUAAGCUAAUGGAUUGCUAUUGGAAGUCUGUCAAAUGUCCAUUUAAUAAGACAAAUGGAUGUUCAGAUGCUAUAAUGACGGCCAUUUUAUGUAAUUAUCUGACAGCACAUUAGAGGAGCUGGCCGGAUGUCUCAGCUCAGUCUCUUGGUUCUCCACUACCACACCCAGGGGACACAUCACCCAUCUGUGGCUGACUGAGGGUGAGGGGAGCUCGGCCAUGG
rnacentral:lncRNA from 1 species